GGUGGUAUAGCCAAGCUGGACAAAGGCAAAGGACUGCAACUCCUUGAUCUCCGGUUCGAAUCCGGAUACCACCU
rnacentral:tRNA from 2 species